UACAUAGGUGGCAAGCGAUAUCCGGAUUUAUUGGGCGUAAAGAGUGCACAGGCGGUUUAUUAAGUCUGUCUUUAAAACCUAAGGCUCAACCUUAGGAUGGGACAGAUACUGUUAAACUAGAAUACAGGUGGGGGUAAUGGAAUUCCAUGUGUAGCGGUGGAAUGCAUAAAUAUAUGGAGGAACACCAGUGGCGAAGGCGGUUGCCUGGACAGAUACUGACACUCAGAUGCGAAAGCGUGGGGAGCAAACAGG
rnacentral:rRNA from 1 species